rnacentral:tRNA from 1 species
GCCUUCGUGGUGUAGUACUCAGCACACUCGGUUGGCGAUUGAGAUGUCCGUGGUUCGAGUCCCGGCGAGGGCA